CGGUAGAGGGGGCAACCCCUUGAGAGUGGCGAACGGGUGAGUAAUAUAUCGGAACGUGCCCAGUCGUGGGGGAUAACGUAGUGAAAAUUACGCUAAUACCGCAUACGAUCUAAGGAUGAAAGCGGGGGAUCGCAAGACCUCGCGCGAUUGGAGCGGCCGAUAUCAGAUUAGGUAGUUGGUAGGGUAAAGGCCUACCAAGCCAACGAUCUGUAGCUGGUCUGAGAGGACGACCAGCCACACUGGAACUGAGACACGGUCCAGACUCCUACGGGAGGCAGCAGUGGGGAAUUUUGGACAAUGGGCGAAAGCCUGAUCCAGCCAUUCCGCGUGCAGGAUGAAGGCCCUCGGGUUGUAAACUGCUUUUGUACAGAACGAAAAGGUCUCUAUUAAUACUAGGGGCUCAUGACGGUACUGUAAGAAUAAGCACCGGCUAACUACGUGCCAGCAGCCGCGGUAAUACGUAGGGUGCAAGCGUUAAUCGGAAUUACUGGGCGUAAAGCGUGCGCAGGCGGUUAUAUAAGUCAGAUGUGAAAUCCCCGGGCUCAACCUGGGAACUGCAUUUGAGACUGUAUAGCUAGAGUAC
rnacentral:rRNA from 1 species